CUCAUUGAGUUUAAGCAUAUAAUUAAGCGAAGGAAAAGAAACUUACAAGCUUUCCCCUAGUAACGGCAAGCGAACCGGGAAGAGCCCAGCAUGAAAAUCGGGUGGCAGCGCCGCCUGAAUUGUAGUUUGUAUAAGCAUCCUUAACGGUGGACUGGGCCCAAGUCCCCUGGAAGGGGGCGCCUGAAAGGGUGGCAGCCCCGUCGGGUCGGGACCCUGCCGCACCACGAGGCAUUGUCGACGAGUUGGGUUGUUUGGGAUUGCAACCCUAAUCGGGUGGUAAAUUUCGUCCAAGGAUAAAUACAGUCGAGAGACCGAUAUCGAACAAGUACCACAAGGGAGAUAUGAAAAGGACUUUGAAAAUAGAGUUAAAGAGUGCUUGAAAUUGCCGAGAGGGAAGCGGAUGGAGGUCGACGAUACGUCUCGGUCAGAUGCGGAACGACUCAAGUUGGUCCAUCACUCGAAUCGAGGUGUGAACCAACACAGGCCGUUGCAUCGUACAAAGCGUGGGUGGAGUACUUCCUAUUGGUUUGUUGUUGUGGCGGUCGAGGAGUGAAGAAAUCAAGGGAUUCCACCAAUACUCAUUGAAAUUUAUUUUUAAUCGCUUGCCAAUACUUCUUUUAGUUUGUUGAUAU
rnacentral:ncRNA from 1 species